UACAGAGGUCUCAAGCGUUGUUCGGAUUCAUUGGGCGUAAAGGGUGCGUAGGUGGCGCCGUAAGUCAGGUGUGAAAUUUCGGAGCUUAACCCGGAAACUGCCAUUGAUACUAUUUGUCUUGAAUACUGUGGAGGUCAGCGGAAUAUGUCAUGUAGCGGUGAAAUGCUUAGAUAUGACAUAGAACACCAAUUGCGAAGGCAGCUGGCUACACAAAUAUUGACACUGAGGCACGAAAGCGUGGGGAUCAAACAGG
rnacentral:rRNA from 1 species